GCCUCUAUAGCUCAGUGGUAGAGCACUGGUCUCGUAAACCACGGGGUCGUGAGUUCAAUUCUCACUGGAGGCA
rnacentral:tRNA from 1 species